GGGGCGGUUAUCCGGGAUACUGGGCGUAAAGCGUGCGCAGGCGGUUUUGUAAGUCUGACGUGAAAUCCCCGGGCUCAACCUGGGAAUUGCGUUGGAGACUGCAAGGCUGGAGUCUGGCAGAGGGGGGUAGAAUUCCACGUGUAGCAGUGAAAUGCGUAGAGAUGUGGAGGAACACCGAUGGCGAAGGCAGCCCCCUGGGUCAAGACUGACGCUCAUGCACGAAAGCGUGGGGAGCAAACAGGAUUAGAUACCCUGGUAGUCCACGCCCUAAACGAUGUCUACUAGUUGUCGGGUCUUAAUUGACUUGGUAACGCAGCUAACGCGUGAAGUAGACCGCCUGGGGAGUACGGUCGCAAGAUUAAAACUCAAAGGAAUUGACGGGGACCCGCACAAGCGGUGGAUGAUGUGGAUUAAUUCGAUGCAACGCGAAAAACCUUACCUACCCUUGACAUGUCAGGAAUCCUCGAGAGAUUGAGGAGUGCCCGAAAGGGAGCCUGAACACAGGUGCUGCAUGGCUGUCGUCAGCUCGUGUCGUGAGAUGUUGGGUUAAGUCCCGCAACGAGCGCAACCCUUGUCAUUAGUUGCUACGAAAGGGCACUCUAAUGAGACUGCCGGUGACAAACCGGAGGAAGGUGGGGAUGACGUCAAGUCCUCAUGGCCCUUAUGGGUAGGGCUUCACACGUCAUACAAUGGUACAUACAGAGGGCCGCCAACCCGCGAGGGGGAGCUAAUCCCAGAAAGUGUAUCGUAGUCCGGAUCGCAGUCUGCAACUCGACUGCGUGAAGUUGGAAUCGCUAGUAAUCGCGGAUCAGCAUGCCGCGGUGAAUACGUUUCCCGGGUCUUGUACACACCGCCCGUCACACCAUGGGAGCGGGUUUUACCAGAAGUAGGUAGCUUAACCGCAAGGAGGGCGCUUACCACGGUAGGAAUCGUGACUGGGGUGAAGUCGUAACAAGGUAACC
rnacentral:rRNA from 1 species